rnacentral:miRNA from 1 species
UAAAAUAUAAUUAAACCGUAUAGCCGAGCGGCUAUACUAUUUAAAUAUUCGAAAAUACUUAAAGGGUACAGCCGUUCGGCUAUAUGCUUUAAAUAUUGGAAU